ACGCACCAGAUACUGAUCAGUCUGCCUUCAGCCCAGCUGUGCCAUGCACACUGGUGACUGUACUCCAUGGCAAUCUGAUUUCAGAAGGGUGCCACACAAAAGUCAGCCCUGACAUUUAAGCUCUGAGUGAAAAGCUGCACUUUAGAGUUAUGGCUCAGAGGCACAUUA